AUUGAACGCUGGCGGAAUGCUUUACACAUGCAAGUCGAGCGGCAGCGCGGGGCAACCUGGCGGCGAGCGGCGAACGGGUGAGUAAUGCAUCGGAACAUGUCCAUGUCGUGGGGGAUAGCCCGGCGAAAGCCGGAUUAAUACCGCAUACGCCCUGAGGGGGAAAGUGGGGGACCGCAAGGCCUCACGCGAUUGGGUUGGCCGAUGUCCGAUUAGCUAGUUGGCGGGGUAAGAGCCCACCAAGGCGAUGAUCGGUAGCUGGUCUGAGAGGAUGAUCAGCCACACUGGGACUGAGACACGGCCCAGACUCCUACGGGAGGCAGCAGUGGGGAAUUUUGGACAAUGGGGGAAACCCUGAUCCAGCCAUUCCGCGUGAGUGAAGAAGGCCU
rnacentral:rRNA from 1 species